AUAAAGACUUUAGCUAUACCAUCAAAGCCUUGAGAAGCAAGAAGAAGCUUGGUUAGUGUUUUGGAGUCAAAGAUUACUAAGUGUCAUGUGUAUGAGUGAGUAUGACAACUAGAACCAUAACCAGAUCUUAAAAACCUAAGUAUUGAAUUUUUGUUAGAAGAUACACUAUCAAAGCUUUGAGAAGCAAGAAGAAGCUUGGUUAGUGUUUUGGAUUCGAAUAUUACUUGAUGUCAUGUGUAUGAAUCA
rnacentral:sRNA from 1 species